ACAGGGAUUACCUCAGUAACGGCGAGUGAAGCGGUAACAGCUCAAAUUUGAAAUCUGGCUCUUUCAGGGUCCGAGUUGUAAUUUGUAGAAGAUGCUUCGAGUGUGGUCCCGGUCUAAGUUCCUUGGAACAGGACGUCAUAGAGGGUGAGAAUCCCGUAUGUGACUGGGUGCCUUCGCUCAUGUGAAGCUCUUUCGACGAGUCGAGUUGUUUGGGAAUGCAGCUCAAAAUGGGUGGUAAAUUUCAUCUAAAGCUAAAUAUUGGCCAGAGACCGAUAGCGCACAAGUAGAGUGAUCGAAAGAUGAAAAGCACUUUGGAAAGAGAGUUAAACAGUACGUGAAAUUGUUGAAAGGGAAGCGCUUGCAACCAGACUUGCCCGCCGUCGAUCAUCCGGGGUUCUCCCCGGUGCACUCGGCGGUGUUCAGGCCAGCAUCGGUUUCGAGGGUGGGAUAAAGGCCUUGGGAAUGUAGCUUCUUUCGGGGAGUGUUAUAGCCCUCGGUGCAAUGCCGCCUCUCGGGACCGAGGACCGCGCUUCGGCUAGGAUGCUGGCGUAAUGGUUGUAAGCGACCCGUCUUGAAACACGGACCAAGGAGUCUAACAUCUAUGCGAGUGUUUGGGUGUCAAACCCAUACGCGUAAUGAAAGUGAACGGAGGUGAGAACCCUUAAGGGCGCAUCAUCGACCGAUCCUGAUGUCUUCGGAUGGAUUUGAGUAAGAGCAUAGCUGUUGGGACCCGAAAGAUGGUGAACUAUGCGUGAAUAGGGUGAAGCCAGAGGAAACUCUGGUGGGAGGCUCGCAGCGGGUUCUGACGUGCAAAUCGAUCGUCAAAUUUGCGUAUAGGGGGCGAAAAGACUAAUCGAACCAUCCCUGAUGGCACUACA
rnacentral:rRNA from 1 species